CAAGGAUAGGCGGAGAGGGAAAGCUAAUUACUGUCUUAUCACUCACCAGCAUUGUGAAUGUUCAGCAAUUUAAAACAACGAAGUAAGGGAAAUGGCAUAUUCCAUUGAAGUUUAAAACUAUCAAUUCGGUCCUUCCCAUUAUCGUUUGCAAAAUGACAGGUUUCUCAUAGUAAUUUGUAUCAUUACACCUGAGGAUCUAUAUAUAUCGCUCUACAUCGAAAAAUCAUGCCAGCCAUAAAUAAAUAACAUUAGAAAGAGCCACAUAAAAACGUAUCACAAGCUUGCCCCACACUCGUGGUCAUUCGCUUCACAACAUGCCCAUGGCUGCCAACACCCAAACAAGCACGGAUGUCCGCAGCAUCCAGCGAGUCUCAGUACCCUCUCCAAGCUGUCUUUUGGCUCCUCCCGCUGUCUUCUUCUGUUGUGAAACGCCAUCGCUACUCCCGGCUUCUCCUGAUUUCGCAGGUGGAGGGGGCGGAGUCGGUGAUGCAAACGAUCUCUUCUCCUGAUCAUAGGCUAAACACGCCGUGGGAAGUGCAAACUCUUUGGAAACCAGUACGCGUUCAGCUUCGAGAGGCUUCGAGAAGCUGCCGAUGCCGACCUCCAACCCGGCCCUGAUACCCAUGUUAAGCUCAACGGAGGGGACGAUGUUGGUGAAAUCCCCUAUGAGGUCAUCGAGGGUGGGGAUGUGAUUUUUCUCAUCUUUUCCUUCGUCUGGUCGGGGGGUUGAGGUCGGGAGCGGGUUGCAUUUACCGUCGACGUUUUUGAGCUGGUCGACUUUCACGGUGAUAGAGGGGAUAUCGAAGAAAGCGCCGAUGUCUCCUGAUGUCGCGGCGAUCGGGGAGCUGAUGCCUAGAAGGAUUUCGGGGCGGAAACUGAUAUUGAAUUCAAGCCCGGUUGGCGUUUGCGCCUGAAAAGGAAGGGCUGAGAAUUUCGUGCGGUCGCUGGUUGGAAAUGUUUUAGCAUGGAUACAUACUACUCAGUCCUUGGGAAGGCUUAAAGGGGGAGACGGCGGCACUCAACUAGGGCC
rnacentral:sRNA from 2 species